rnacentral:rRNA from 1 species
UACGUAGGUGGCAAGCGUUGUCCGGAUUUACUGGGCGUAAAGGGCGUGCAGGCGGUUUGUUAAGUGCAGGGUGAAAGCUCCCGGCUCAACUGGGAGAGGUCCUUGCAUACUGGCGAACUCGAGGGAGGCAGAGGAAAGUGGAAUUCCCGGUGUAGUGGUGAUAUGCGUAGAUAUCGGGAGGAACACCAGUGGCGAAGGCGGCUUGCUGGGCUGUUGCUGACGCUGAGGCGCGACAGCGUGGGGAGCAAACAGG